rnacentral:lncRNA from 1 species
GGAUUCUAACUGGCUUGCAUGGCUUUAUCCUUCUCCCUACACUUUCCUCCCAUAGGUUUGGCAUAGUUAUAAUGGUGCUCGACGGCAUAUUUAUGCGUUUUGAUGUAAAUGAGAACUUUUUUGAAAACGAUGUUGUGUGCACAAUGUUAUUUUUGAAAACGGAGAGGGGGAAAUAUUUGUUUCUAUAAAUACCCUGCUAUGUAUUGUGGCAUCCCGCCACGUGGUCCUCGGCCUGGACGGGCCCGGGGUACCGUGGAGGACUGGAUAUACCACCCCCACCCACCAGCCGGCGACGGAGAGCAGCCCUUUUGGCUCCCCAAUCAGGGUGAUUGGGGGACACCUGGCCGAAAGCACGGGAGCCAUCUUAAGAGGAGGACCAGCACAGCACAGCACGGGUCGGGAGCAGGAAGGAAGGGCUCGUGGCAGCGAGAGAGCCUAGAGGCCCACGGAGGCCCUAGAGACCACGUCUCCUUCAUUGUUUGAUUGUUUCAGUUGACUGUUAAAUAAAUCCCUGAAAUGGCUAAAACCCCAAGGCCAAGCGAGUUUUGUACGUGGAUUCCGGCUCAACCGAGCACCGGGAUACCACACUUGGUGGAGAAUGCAGGCAAAACGAAGGUCCCACUACGGCUCCCCGGUACAGACGCCGCCGCCGCAAGGGACGCCGCCGCCGCCGCAAGGGACGCCGCCGCCGCCGCAAGGGACGCCGCCGCAGCCGCAAGGGACGUCGCCGCUGCCGCCAGAGACGUCGCCGCUGCCGCAAGAGACGUCGCCGCUGCCGCAAGAGACGUCGCCGCUGCCACAAGAGACGUCGCCGCUGCCGCAAGGGACGCUGCCGCCGCCGAAAGGGACGCCGCCGCCGCCGCAAGGGACGCCGCCGCCGCCGCCGGCGCAAGGGACGCCGCCGCCGCCGCAGCGCGAGACGAGGCCGCAGCGCGAGACCGGGGCGUGACAGUGCCGUCGACCUACGCGGACGUGGGGACGGGCCGGCCCUGCAUGCUGGCGACAUGUUGGGCAAAGGAAGCGUCCGGGUGCCCAACCGUACCUGCGAGAGUGAUGUCCAAACAGACGCAGGCCAUAGUGGACACUGGCAGCAUGGUCACCCUCCUCCGGCCCGACCUGGCGGGGGGAAGGGAAGGGUCACCAAUGGAGGUGACAUGCGUACACGGGGACACACGAACAUACAAGACCUGCCACGUGGUCGUCCGGACACCACAGGGGGUGUUCACGGCUAGGGCAGGGGUCGUGCCACACCUCCCGGUGCCAUUCCUAAUUGGGAGGGACUGCCCGAUUCUCCGUCGGCUUUGGGACCCGGCGCUGGAGUCCCGGGUCCGGAGAGAUGCGGCCGCCGCCGCGGCAGGAGGUGCGGCCGCCGCCGCGGCAGGAGGUGCCGUCGCCGCCGCGGCAGGAGGUGCGGUCGCCGCCGCGGCAGGAGGUGCGGCCGCCGCCGCCGCCGCGGCGAGAGAUGCGGCUGCCGUCGCGGCAAGGGAUGCGGCCGGCGCCGCUGCGAGAGGUGCGGCCGCCGCUGCCGCGAGGGACGCAGCCGGCGCCGCAGGAGACACCCGGCCCCGGCGAGAUACCAUCCUGGGCGGGCCCCUCGGCUACCUGGGGCUUGGACAAAGGGUGGAGGAGUGUGGCAUCCCGCCACGUGGUCCUCGGCCUGGACGGGCCCGGGGUACCGUGGAGGACUGGAUAUACCACCCCCACCCACCAGCCGGCGACGGAGAGCAGCCCUUUUGGCUCCCCAAUCAGGGUGAUUGGGGGACACCUGGCCGAAAGCACGGGAGCCAUCUUAAGAGGAGGACCAGCACAGCACAGCACGGGUCGGGAGCAGGAAGGAAGGGCUCGUGGCAGCGAGAGAGCCUAGAGGCCCACGGAGGCCCUAGAGACCACGUCUCCUUCAUUGUUUGAUUGUUUCAGUUGACUGUUAAAUAAAUCCCUGAAAUGGCUAAAACCCCAAGGCCAAGCGAGUUUUGUACGUGGAUUCCGGCUCAACCGAGCACCGGGAUACCACAGUAUAGACGUGGACUUAGACUCAAAGCCUGUUUUCUGGAAGGGACCCCUGAUCUCAGAGUAGAGGCCUACUACA